rnacentral:rRNA from 1 species
UUUGGGAUAACCCUCGGAAACGGGGGCUAAUACCGAAUAGGACUUCCGGCCGCAUGGCUGGGGGUGGAAAGUUUUUCGGCUUGGGAUGGGCUCGCGGCCUAUCAGCUUGUUGGUGGGGUGAUGGCCUACCAAGGCGACGACGGGUAGCCGGCCUGAGAGGGCGACCGGCCACACUGGGACUGAGACACGGCCCAGACUCCUACGGGAGGCAGCAGUGGGGAAUAUUGCACAAUGGGCGGAAGCCUGAUGCAGCGACGCCGCGUGAGGGAUGACGGCCUUCGGGUUGUAAACCUCUUUCAGCAGGGACGAAGCGAGAGUGACGGUACCUGCAGAAGAAGCACCGGCCAACUACGUGCCAGCAGCCGCGGUAAGACGUAGGGUGCGAGCGUUGUCCGGAUUUAUUGGGCGUAAAGAGCUCGUAGGCGGCUUGUCGCGUCGACCGUGAAAACUUGGGGCUCAACCCCAAGCCUGCGGUCGAUACGGGCAGGCUAGAGUUCGGUAGGGGAGACUGGAAUUCCUGGUGUAGCGGUGAAAUGCGCAGAUAUCAGGAGGAACACCGGUGGCGAAGGCGGGUCUCUGGGCCGAUACUGACGCUGAGGAGCGAAAGCGUGGGGAGCGAACAGGAUUAGAUACCCUGGUAGUCCACGCUGUAAACGUUGGGCGCUAGGUGUGGGGGACCUCUCCGGUUUCCUGUGCCGCAGCUAACGCAUUAAGCGCCCCGCCUGG